rnacentral:rRNA from 1 species
UGGGGAAUCUUGGGCAAUGGGCGCAAGCCUGACCCAGCGACGCCGCGUGGGGGAAGAAGGUCCUCGGAUCGUAAACCUCUGUCAGGAGGGAAGAACGGGCCGUCUCCAAAGAGGGGACGGUUUUGACGGUACCUCCUGAGGAAGCACCGGCCAACUCCGUGCCAGCAGCCGCGGUAAUACGGAGGGUGCAAGCGUUAUUCGGAAUCACUGGGCGUAAAGCGCGCGUAGGCGGCUUCGCAAGUCAGAUGUGAAAGCCCUCGGCUUAACCGAGGAAUUGCAUCUGAAACUGCGUGGCUUGAGUCCGAGAGAGGGUGGCGGAAUUCCCGGUGUAGGGGUGAAAUCCGUAGAUAUCGGGAGGAACACCAGAGGCGAAGGCGGCCACCUGGCUCGGCACUGACGCUGAGGCGCGAAAGCGUGGGCAGCAAACA